UCUGCCAAUUUAAAAGUAAAACAUUUGGCGGCAAAUGUUUUACUUUUAAAUUGGCAGAAAACAGAGAGGCUAGUUCUAGGUCCCAAGAUACAAAGAGAUAUCGUGUUGGAUCUGACAAUUAAUCUUGAUGGU